UUCGGCCAGAUCACCUUGAAACACUGGUCCUCGUACGAUCACCGAAGUUAAGAAAGGUCGAGUGUGGUCAGUACCUAGAUGGGUGACCUUUUACACUAAGUGCUG